GAUGAACGCUGGCGGCGUGCCUAAUACAUGCAAGUCGAGCGAACAGACGAGGAGCUUGCUCCUCUGACGUUAGCGGCGGACGGGUGAGUAACACGUGGAUAACCUACCUAUAAGACUGGGAUAACUUCGGGAAACCGGAGCUAAUACCGGAUAAUAUAUUGAACCGCAUGGUUCAAUAGUGAAAGACGGUUUUGCUGUCACUUAUAGAUGGAUCCGCGCCGCAUUAGCUAGUUGGUAAGGUAACGGCUUACCAAGGCAACGAUGCGUAGCCGACCUGAGAGGGUGAUCGCCCACACUGGAACUGAGACACGGUCCAGACUCCUACGGGAGGCAGCAGUAGGGAAUCUUCCGCAAUGGGCGAAAGCCUGACGGAGCAACGCCGCGUGAGUGAUGAAGGUCUUCGGAUCGUAAAACUCUGUUAUUAGGGAAGAACAAAUGUGUAAGUAACUAUGCACGCCUUGACGGUACCUAAUCAGAAAGCCACGGCUAACUACGUG
rnacentral:rRNA from 1 species